rnacentral:misc_RNA from 1 species
AUCACUUUAAUGUGAAUAGAAUUGUAGGCCAAGGUGGCCAAGGCACUGUUUAUAAAGGAAUGUUGGUGGACGGAAAAAUUAUUGCAGUUAAAAAGUCCAAGAUAGUAGAUGAAGCAAAACUUGAAGAAUUCAUUAAUGAAGUUGUCAUUUUAUCACAAAUUAAUCACAGGAAUGUGGUAAAACUACUUGGAUGUUGCUUGGAGACAGAGGUUCCACUGCUUGUCUAUGAAUUCAUCUCCAACGGAACACUUCAUAGGUAUCUUCAUGACCCAAAUGAGGAAUUUCAAUUAUCUUGGGAAAUGCGUUUACAAAUUGCCAUAAAAAUUUCCGGAGCUCUUUCUUAUUUGCAUUCUGCAGCUGCUGUGCCAAUUUUUCAUCGGGACAUUAAGUCAAAAAACAUACUCUUAGAUGAAAAGUACGGGGCAAAAGUAUCAGAUUUUGGAAUUUCAAGAUCCAUUGCCCUUGGCCAGACUCACCUUACCACCAAUGUACAGGGCACCUUUGGAUACUUGGAUCCACAAUAUUUUCAAACAAGCAAAUUUACAGAGAAAAGUGAUGUUUAUAGCUUUGGAGUAGUGCUUGUUGAGCUCCUGACCGGCCAAGAACCAAUUUAUUCUGCGAUGUCUCAAGAAAUCGUUGGUUUAGCCUCACAUUUUAUUCAUAUGAUGGAAAAUAAUAAACUCUUGGAGAUGCUUGACCCUCGAAUCAUGGAGCAUUGCGUGAAAGAAGAAGUCAUGGUUGUUGCUAACCUUGCAAAAAGAUGCUUGAAUUUCCAGGGAAAGAAACGACCUACAAUGAAACAGGUGACAAUGGAGUUGGAGGCGAUCUGGUUUUGUCAACAAGAUUUGAAUGCUGCCCAAAUACAUUGGGAAGAAACUAAAUUUGCUGAAGCUGCUUCUUCAACACGGUCAAGUUUUGGUACCAUUGGUAAUUCAUCAAUUGAUACUCAACCAUCAGUUUCUAAUAGUUGGUAAUUAUAUAAGAACGUCCCACAAGAAUUCGUUUCCAACUUUUGUAGCUAUAGGUUUUUCUGUUAAUAGUUAUUUGAAACUUCCAAAGAAAAAGGUAAAAUUUUUUCCUCACUUCAUUUGUUUAAUUAUUUAUGCAUUUGUUUGUUGUUUUAUGAAUCAGUUUGGUCUGCAAUAUAUACAUACUCUUCUUUAAA